UUAGCAAUGCCUAUUGGAAACGUAAUAGUUUUCUACUUUGGAAUAUUAUGAUCACACCAAUCAAACAGAUUUUACACUGGUAUCCCAAUGUGAUAUAACCAAAGGAGAUUGCGUCGCAUAUACAAGGGGAUCGUAUUACUGUAGAACAAAAGUAAAUUGUUACAGAAAACCGACAGUUGUAAAGAUUAUGAGAAAGUUGACUCGUUUGGGAAAGUCCAGAAAUACCAAUGUAACUGUAAACACCUUAGUGACUGUCAGUUCAGAAACUUUACGGAAUGUAAAAAUGGAUGCUUACCUGGAUUUAAAGAGCCAUAUUGUCAAAAGCGUAAGUAAAAUGAUUGUUAAAAUUUUAAGUAAAAUAAUAGCAGGAUUGCUGAAGAUUACAUUCUGAUAUACACUAUUUAAAUUACAAUUUCAUUCAAAGUGAGUUGUCCGAACAUACAGCUACGCAUUUCUGAUAAUAAGUACAAUUGUUUAAAGCGUGAGUUUCUUUCCCAACAUUUUUAUUCUGAUUAACUAAGUUUUACCAAGACGCGCAAUGAUAUUAAGGCAUAAAUAUGUAAGAAAUAUAUAAAAAUUGGAACCCCUUUUAGACUUUAUUAAUAUAAGACAGUUUGAGAUAUGCAGAACAGCAUAACAUUAAUAAUCUUGUUUCCAUAAAACAACAGUUUAAAUCCUAUAAAAGAAAAGAUGUUACACUAUUAUUGUAUACUGACAAAUAACAUUUAACACAUUCUUGAAAUAUACACACGCACGUGACAUCACAUACACCCAUAUAUACAUAACACACACAAACACACAUAUACGCAACUUCCAUCCCUACGUCCUGCUGAACUCAGACUCCGAAAGCCCCAUACAUCAUAAAACCACCCUACAUCUCAUCUAUCCCCGGUUUCAUUAUACUAUUGCUUUCCACCAUCUUUACUUGGUUCUAUCACUUAUCUUCUCCUCCUCCUCCUCCUCCUCCUUCUCUUCACUCAUCCUCUCCUAAUCCCUUCAUCCCCCCACAACUGAUAUUCAGCCUUGACAAUGCUUGCACGUUUUCCACACUCACCGGAUCCACCUCUGUCUCCAUCACUAACCAUUUGUCAUUCUCUUUUCACAGAGUUGCUAACUUACCAUUACUUGCCUACACUUUCUGAAUUUCUGUCUCUAUUCUUGCUUGUUCCUUGAGGAUAACCCUUAAUUCCUCAUCACCAUAAUUUCUUCCUUCGUUUUCAUUAGGGGUAGCAAAAUAUCUCUCCUACAUCAAGACACUCGUUCCUGUCCGUUAUCAUACCUCUGAGCAUCUGACAGAAACCACAUCCCUCAAUACUGUAUCCCCACCCAAAAAAAGAACCCAGUACAUUAUAAAUUGCUUGGUACAAAGCGGGACAACCAAUCAUAGAAUACAUGCCAAAGCAGAUACUGGAGUGCGAUGCUGUUUUCAGUCUCGUAAUAUUCUGCGAAACAUACAUACAUGCUUAUACACAUACAUAAGAGCGUUUUUGUUA